UCAUGAAAUCGAGUAGGACGGAGCACGAGAAACUUUGUCUGAAUAUGGGGGGACCAUCCUCCAAGGCUAAAUACUCCUGACUGACCGAUAGUGAACCAGUACCGUGAGGGAAAGGCGAAAAGAACCCCGGCGAGGGGAGUGAAAUAGAUCCUGAAACCGUAUGCGUACAAGCAGUGGGAGCCCACUUUGUUGGGUGACUGCGUACCUUUGUAUAAUGGGUCAGCGACUUAUUUCAGUGGCGAGCUUAACCGAAUAGGGAGGCGUAGCGAAAG
rnacentral:rRNA from 1 species